rnacentral:rRNA from 1 species
UACGUAGGUGACCAGCGUUGUCCGGAUUUACUGGGCGUAAAGAGCGCGCAGGCGGUCGUUCAAGUCGAGUGUGAAAGCCCCCGGCUCAACUGGGGAGGGUCAUUCGAUACUGAUCGACUCGAAGGCAGGAGAGGGAAGCGGAAUUCCCGGUGUAGUGGUGAAAUGCGUAGAUAUCGGGAGGAACACCAGUGGCGAAGGCGGCUUCCUGGCCUGUUCUUGACGCUGAGGCGCGAAAGCUAGGGGAGCAAACGGGG